rnacentral:rRNA from 1 species
AGAACGAACGCUGGCGGCAGGCCUAACACAUGCAAGUCGAACGCCCUAGCAAUAGGGAGUGGCAGACGGGUGAGUAACGCGUGGGAACCUUCCCUAUAGUACGGAAUAUACCAGGGAAACUUGGAGCAAAUACCGUAUACGCCCGAAAGGGGAAAGAUUUAUCGCUAUAGGAUGGGCCCGCGUAGGAUUAGCUAGUUGGUGAGGUAAUGGCUCACCAAGGCGACGAUCCUUAGCUGGUCUGAGAGGAUGGCCAGCCACACUGGGACUGAGACACGGCCCAGACUCCUACGGGAGGCAGCAGUGGGAAUAUGACAAUGGCGCAAGCCUGAUCCAGCCAUGCCGCGUGAGUGAUGAAGGCCUUAGGGUUGUAAAGCUCUUUCGCCAGGGACGAUAAUGACGGUACCUGGAUAAGAAGCCCGGCUAACUUCGUGCCAGCAGCCGC